GGACAAUACAGGAGAGGAAUUCCAGGAAAUAGAUGAGAUAGAAGCACAAAUGAGAAAAAGGACAAAAUAAAACAAAAACACACAAAAAUCCAGCAAGAAGGCCUUUGGUGUGGUAUAUUGGUAUGGCUGAGCCUUCUUUGGGGUGAAGGAGACUCGCUGUAGCAAGAUACGGCACCAGGUAGAGGCGAUGUAGAUACUGUCACACGACAAAUAAAGAAGAAUAACACCGGAGACAGGAUAAUACAGAAAAGGAAUGCCAGAAAAAAGAAAUCAGAUACAAAACACAACAUUAGCAAAACGAACAACUAGGAUUCAGGACUUUGGUGUGGUAUGUUGGUACAGGCGAGGCUUCUCAGGGGUGAAGGAGACUCGUCUGUGGCAGAAUACGGCACCAAGAAAAGCCGAUAUACAGUGGAAACAACACCAGAAAAAGGAAAAUGAAGAAAGAGAAAACCAGCACAAGGAAAAUACAGAAAAAAGAACACCAGAAAAAGAAUUGCUGACCCUGACUUAACUGUCGGGGUGGGAUGCUGACCCUGACUUAACUGUCGGGGUGGGAUGCUGACCCUGACUUAAUUGUCGGGGUGGGAUGCUGACCCCAGCUUGAAUGUUGGGGUGGGAUGCUGACCCCAGCUUGAAUGUUGGGGUGGGAUGCUGACCCUGACGUAAAUGUCGGGGUGGGAUGCUGACCCCAGCUUGAAUGUUGGGGUGGGAUGCUGACCCUGACGUAAAUGUCGGGGUGGGAUGCUGACCCUGACGUAAAUGUCGGGGUGGGAUACUGACCUUUAAAGGAAGGAAAAUGAGCUGUUGCGAUGUCUUAUUUUAUCGACAAAGGAAUCAACGUUUUGGAAACAAAGAAAGGAAAAUAUGGUUUUGAGUUCGUUUAGUUUUAUCGACAAAGGAAUCAACGUUUUGGAAACAAAGAAAGGAAAAUAUGGUUUUGAGUUCGUUUAGUUUUAUCGACAAAGGAAUCAACGUUUUGGAAACAAAGAAAGGAAAAUAUGGUUUUGAUUGGUUUAGUUUUAUCGACAAAGGAAUCAACGUUUUGGAAACAAAGAAAGGAAAAUAUGGUUUGAGUUCGUUUAGUUUUAUCGACAAAGGAAUCGACUUUUUGGAAACAAAGAAAGGAAAAUAUGGUUUUGAGUUCGUUUAGUUUUAUCGACAAAGGAAUCAACAUUUUGGAAACAAAGAAAGGAAAAUAUGGUUUUGAGUUUGUUUAGUUUUAUCGACAAAGGAAUCGACAUUUUGGAAACGAAGAAAGGAUAACGAGUUAUUGCGACGUGUUUUUAUCGACAAAGGAAUCAACGUUUUGGAAACAAAGAAAGGAAAUGAAUGUCACCCUAAACACGCUGUCAUGUCUCCCGUUCUCUAUAUAUUGCU